rnacentral:lncRNA from 1 species
UCUAUUUUACUGUAUGAGCUAAAUCAGUUAUACUAACUAAGCUACAUUUUUCUAUAUCUAAAUACAGCUAAAGGUUUCUAAGUCUAGAUCUAGAUCCACUAUUAUUUCUAAAUCUAGAUCUACUAAUAUUUCUAAAUCUCAGAUCCACUAAUAUUUCGAAAUCUAGAUCUGAGCUAAGCUAAACUAAACUAUACUAUACUAUACUUAACUAAACUACGAGAUUAAAAAGAUUUACCUGAGAAAGAUGGAAGAAAUUACUUCCCUCUUCCCCCUCCUCCUCCUCCUCCUCCUUUCUUUCUUUUUUUUCUUCCCUCCUCCUCCU